AUUGAACGCUGGCGGCAGGCCUAACACAUGCAAGUCGAACGAGUGGCGGACGGGUGAGUAAUGUCUGGGAACCUGCCUGAUGGAGGGGGAUAACUGCUGGAAACGGUGGCUAAUACCGCAAACCAUCAGAUGUGCCCAGAUGGGAUUAGCUAGUCGGUGGGGUAACGGCUAACCAAGGCGACGAUCCCUAGCUGGUCUGAGAGGAUGACCAGCCACACUGGAACUGAGACACGGUCCAGACUCCUACGGGAGGCAGCAGUGGGGAAUAUUGCACAAUGGGCGCAAGCCUGAUGCAGCCAUGCCGCGUGUAUGAAGAAGGCCUUCGGGUUGUAAAGUACUUUCAGCGGGGAGGCGUUACCCGCAGAAGAAGCACCGGCUAACUCCGUGCCAGCCGCCGCGGUAAUUC
rnacentral:rRNA from 1 species